rnacentral:rRNA from 1 species
UACGAAGGGGGCGAGCGUUGUUCGGAUUUACUGGGCGUAAAGGGCGCGCAGGCGGCAGAUCAAGUCAGGCGUGAAAGCCCCGGGCUCAACCUGGGAACUGCGUUUGGGACUGGUUUGCUAGAGAUCGGGAGAGGAGAGUGGAAUUCCCAGUGUAGAGGUGAAAUUCGUAGAUAUCGGGAGGAACAUCAGUGGCGAAGGCGGCGAUCUGGGAAGUUACUGACGCUGAGGUGCGAAAGCGUGGGGAGCAAACAGG